CAGUCGCCGCGGUAAUACGAAGGGGGCUAGCGUUGUUCGGAAUUACUGGGCGUAAAGCGCACGCAGGCGGCUCGAUAAAUUAGAAGUGAAAGCCUUGGGCUUAACCUGAGAAUUGCUUUUAAGACUGUCGAGCUAGAAUCCAGAAGAGGGUAGUGGAAUUCCGAGUGUAGAGGUGAAAUUCGUAGAUAUUCGGAAGAACACCAGUGGCGAAGGCGACUACCUGGUCUGGCAUUGACGCUCAUGUGCGAAAGUGUGGGGAGCAAACAGGAUUAGAGACCCCUGUAGUCCCUGUCUCUUAUAC
rnacentral:rRNA from 1 species